AAACUUUCAACAACGGAUCUCUUGGCUCUCGCAUCGAUGAAGAACGCAGCGAAAUGCGAUAAGUAAUGUGAAUUGCAGAAUUCAGUGAAUCAUCGAAUCUUUGAACGCACCUUGCGCUCUCUGGUAUUCCGGAGAGCAUGCCUGUUUGAGUGUCAUGA
rnacentral:rRNA from 1 species